GGCUCUGUAGUUCAGUUGAUUAGAGUACUCCACCCAAAUCGCAGGUUCGAUUCCUGCCAGCGGGCCA